GCAGCAGCCACGGGAAUACGAAGGGUGCAAGCGUUACUCGGAAUUACUGGGCGUAAAGCGUGCGUAGGUGGUUGUUUAAGUCUGCUGUGAAAGCCCUGGGCUCAACCUGGGAAUUGCAGUGGAUACUGGGCAACUAGAGUAAGGUAGAGGAUAGUGGAAUUUCCGGUGUAGCAGUGAAAUGCGUAGAGAUCGGAAGGAACAUCUGUGGCGAAGGCGACUAUCUGGGCCAUUACUGACACUGAGGCACGAAAGCGUGGGGAGCAAACAGGAUUAGAUACCCCAGUAGUCCAUGUCUCUUAUAC
rnacentral:rRNA from 1 species